GAACCUCAAUUUCUGCUGAGGCAGCAGAUGGUAAGGGUCAUAAUCUGGUGUCAACAGCGCGGCUCCAUUGACCCAACCUGCCUUGUGUGGACAGGCCAGGCUGGUGGCGGUGGGGUAACGGUGUGGGGGAUUGAUUUCUGGACACACUUUGGGCUCCUUCAUACCAAUGAGUCAGUCUGAAUGCCACAGCCAAUCUGAGCAGCGGCGCUGACCGUGCGCAUCCCUUCAUGGCCACAAUUUAUUCACCUUCUGGUGGCUACUUCCGGCACGAACACGCACCAUGUCACGAAGCACAAGUCGUGUCAAACUGGUUUCAUGACCGUGAGUCCAGUGGUCUUCAGUGGCCUCCCACAGUCCCACAGGGAAUCCAACGGGGGGGGCUCUGGGCAUGUGGUGGAACAGGAGACUGGCAGCAUGACUGUGCAUCUGACAAAUCUGCAGGAAUCCUGCGAUGCAAUAACGUCAACCUGGGGCAGAAUCUCACGGGAAAGUCUCCAACGUCGACGCCACGGGGAACCGAGGCUGUUCCGAGAGCAAGAGGGAUGCUCAAGCCAGUAUUAGCGUGGUGUCCCUAAUAAAGUGAUCGGCUCCAGCGACUAUAACCGUCUAUCAACACUAGAGCGCAGCAUGGCUGAAGGCUCCAGCGACCAGCGCGUUGCAAUGCAGACCUAGACUGGAUAAAAUCCGUGGUGGAAAUUGACUGAGCACAGUACUUCAUGUCCUGCACUGAAGUACAAAUUUGCAGACAGAGCCAGUAAAGUGACUGUAUUAAUAAUGCAGCGACAGACACACAGAUCUGUUCAGCGGGAGGACACAAACCUUGACCCGAGCAGCUCAAAGAGAAUCGCACGCCUCCGGCUGAAUGUGUUGACGGUGUGUCAUUACUCGGGCUAUGUGGCCGUGAUGUGUGAGAUGACUCCCCGCUGAACGACACCCUGGCAUCCGGCACCUUCAGGUGCCCCACACAAUGUUCACGAUCAAUUGUGAAGAGCAUUAAUAUCCAUGUCUGAGUCAGUAUCAUCUUUUAAAGCUCUUUUCAAAUAUACUUUCAUCAGAGAGCUUAUAUCAUUUUUCUUGACUUUUACUUUGUCUCUUAAUUUCUUUUGUCUUUUACUUCUGAAAUUGAUGUGAUCUAUUUGACUCUUGUCAACUUAAUGUCUCUUUUUGCCUAUAAGUUCCGCAUUGGAUUAAAUGUCAUAUUUAAUUGUAAAAUUAUUUAGUCUAAUUUGCUGCCUUGUGUGGAACAAUUUGUAUUUUUGGUUUUGAGAAGUUCUCUGUACAUAAAUACAGUUAUGUCUCCAGGUGCAUAAAUAC